rnacentral:rRNA from 1 species
UACGUAGGGCGCAAGCGUUGUCCGGAAUUAUUGGGCGUAAAGAGCUCGUAGGCGGUUUGUCGCGUCGGAUGUGAAAACCCAGGGCUCAACCCUGGGCCUGCAUUCGAUACGGGCAGACUAGAGUUCGGUAGGGGAGACUGGAAUUCCUGGUGUAGCGGUGAAAUGCGCAGAUAUCAGGAGGAACGCCGGUGGCGAAGGCGGGUCUCUGGGCAAUAACUGACGCUGAGGAGCGAGAGCGUGGGGAGCGAACAGG